AGAGUUUAAGGAUAUGAAUAAGCCUUGCUUGUUUGCAUGAGUGACAUGAGACCAAAAAUAUUGUUCGUUUCCUUGUUGCAGGUCCUGCGAUUUAGGACUUGCGAAGAACUUUGUUUGUAAAGAUUCCAAAGAAGGUUUUAGCAAAGCCGAACAAUAAGGCUCUGAGGCCCAUAAGCCAAAUAACAUUUCAAAGAUAGUAACUUAAUAAGCACGGAAAAGACAAGAACACACAAAAGCAUUUGUCUUUGAGUGAAAGAACUUUGCUUGUAAAGACUUGAUAUAAAGAGUGUGAUUCUAGUAGAUUCUGAGAUGAGAAAUAAUGGAAGCCUAAACUUAUUAAAAAACCCUCCCCCUCGGUGUCAAGAUUUUUUUCUUCUUACUUUGCUCUCUUUUCUUAGUUCAAGUAGUUUGUUCUUUGAGUCGAUAACGGUUUGAGAUAUUUUUUUUUCUUUUUUGACACACUUAGACACAACUUGCUGGAGGGAUACUUUGUCUUGAUUCUGAGCUGGUUUCAGACCAUUGUGCCCCUCGCUUUCUUAACUGAGACCAAAGGUGAGUCAAUGUUUUUUUAUUAUUUCUCGCCAACUGGAAAGCGACAGUACAACCCUGCAUUUCGUAGGAGUUAUUAAGUUUGGUUUCUGGGGAAUACUUUCUUCUCAACUUUUUCUUUGUUUUUUUACAAAGUUCUUAUGUUUUUAUUUGUUUUUUCUCAGAGUUUAAGACAUUUGAAGAAAGUAUAAUUAUUACAAUAAAUUGUAAUUUCUUUUUCUCUAUAUUUUAACAUCCAUUUUCAUAUAUAUAUUUUAUAUAUUUCAACAAUUAUAUAAAAAAAUGUAUGGACAUAAGAAGUGUGGAUGCAAAAUUGUGAACAUAUAAGAAAAAUACGUGAACAUAAAAAGAUGUGGACAUGGCUGGAUAAAAAAAUGUAGAAAAUCUCUUUAAAUUUUCGUGGAUGAGGUUUCAUGAACUAAGUUUCAUAGAUGUGUUUUCUUGGACAAGUUCUUAUAUUCCUAAUCAUCUUACAUAAUUUCUUAGUAUCUGUGCACAAGUGCUUUAUGCAUACCGUGUAGUGUUUAUGUACAUUCCCAACAUAUUUUUUUGGUCAUUAUUACAAAUUAUAAUGUAUAAAAUCUAUAUUAAUGUAUAAAAUAAGUUAUAAUUUUUUCUCUUCUACAUUUUGAUAUCCAUAAUGUAUAUAUUUUUUGUAAAUU
rnacentral:lncRNA from 1 species